AGAGUUUGAUCCUGGCUCAGAGCGAACGCUGGCGGCAGGCUUAACACAUGCAAGUCGAGCGGAUGUAGCAAUACAUCAGCGGCAGACGGGUGAGUAACACGUGGGAACGUACCUUUUGGUUCGGAACAACACAGGGAAACUUGUGCUAAUACCGGAUAAGCCCUUACGGGGAAAGAUUUAUCGCCGAAAGAUCGGCCCGCGUCUGAUUAGCUAGUUGGUGAGGUAAUGGCUCACCAAGGCGACGAUCAGUAGCUGGUCUGAGAGGAUGAUCAGCCACAUUGGGACUGAGACACGGCCCAAACUCCUACGGGAGGCAGCAGUGGGGAAUAUUGGACAAUGGGCGCAAGCCUGAUCCAGCCAUGCCGCGUGAGUGAUGAAGGCCCUAGGGUUGUAAAGCUCUUUUGUGCGGGAAGAUAAUGACGGUACCGCAAGAAUAAGCCCCGGCUAACUUCGUGCCAGCAGCCGCGGUAAUACGAAGGGGGCUAGCGUUGCUCGGAAUCACUGGGCGUAAAGGGUGCGUAGGCGGGUCUUUAAGUCAGGGGUGAAAUCCUGGAGCUCAACUCCAGAACUGCCUUUGAUACUGAAGAUCUUGAGUUCGGGAGAGGUGAGUGGAACUGCGAGUGUAGAGGUGAAAUUCGUAGAUAUUCGCAAGAACACCAGUGGCGAAGGCGGCUCACUGGCCCGAUACUGACGCUGAGGCACGAAAGCGUGGGGAGCAAACAGGAUUAGAUACCCCGGUAGUCC
rnacentral:rRNA from 1 species